CAUGCGUUCAUACACGUAUAUUGCCGAAAUUUUGAGUUGAGGAAGUUUUGUGAUGCUAAUUGUUGUCAUUCUUCUGCAACCAUGGAAGUAACUAUUAUGAAGAGAAAUUGGAACAAAACUUCUUUUAUAGUUAUACUGUUCCUGCUUUCUGUGAAUAUAAGGCUGACAAAUUAAUUUAAGGCCAGCCCAGGAACACUUUUGACACUGGAUAUCUAUUUUGCUCAUCAAAGUCUUCUUAGUCCUUGAUGAUGGAGAUGAGCAGGGAAUCGAUGCUGGGGGUAAUCUUACGACUCAAAUAAAGUAGAUGAAAGCAUAGAAGAAACAAUAGUGGAAAAAACACUAAAGCUUCAAGGAGUAAACAUUUGAUGAAAUACUUCCCUAACUAAAGUGCAGACAUGACAUUUGCAGUUAUCAUCAAACUGGGGGAGGAGAGAUUGAAAGAAAGAACUGGAAUUGAGACGUUUUUAAGUUAGUGAUGAUUGAGGAGCCCACCGCCAGCCAUGUCACAACCAGGAAUAGCCUGCAUCAACAGAAUUUCCUGAUCCCAUUAAUCAACUUCAGCGAGAAAAUGAAGUUAAAAAAAGAAGCUGAAAUCAGUCAGGCAGACUAACCAACACUAUGUUCAAAAAACACAUGACACGUAUUACUUACCAUGAGUCCAUGAUACACAUAUUACGAAAAAUUAUUUACCCCAGACUCUACAUGACUACAUCCAUCAUUAAGUGCUCAACUUUGAUCACAACCAUCUGUAUCUUUUCCCAUUAAAUGUCUGUGCCAAGAUCUACAGAUGCAAUAGCAAUCGCAGGCAUCUAAUACAGAUUGCACGGCUGAACUUCAUAGUGCCACAAUGUACCAAUGUUGAAGUACAAACAACAAUUUGUUGUUGUUAUAAAGACAACUUUAAUGAUGAUAGCUACAAGCACAUACAAGCUUUAAACAUUUGGGAAUAGAACUCAAAGAAUGAAUCAGCAUGUUAAUAGGAGGGCAGAAAGCAAAACAAGGCUAUUAUGAUCCAAUAUCGGAGAUCUGUUUUAGAGAGAAAAUAAGAUAACCAGACCAUAUAUAUUUAGAAAUGACUUGGCCUAUCCAUCCUCAUCGAGCACAAACUUAAUAAAAAGAUAACAAAAAAUGAUUCACUCUACAUGGCACCAAAACCAAUAGAUAUGAAAUCGUGCCNNNNNNNNNNNNNNNNNNNNNNNNNNNNNNNNNNNNGAUGCCACAAAGACUUUAUUCAGCAUUGCAUAUAAAUUUAAUCAGGACAAGUUCCCUGUUCCUGCUUUUUCAAUGGUGCAACGUACACCUAACGAUGGGGAGAACAGUAGAUCCAUGAAGGUGUUCACCGGUCAGGUGUCCUCACUAAUGAGUUAACAUGAUCCAAUAGCAACAAACAUGCCAAAGUCCAUCUAAUUAUAUGUCAGCCGUCAAACCAUGAUCCAAUGUCCAUAUGGAUCUUUUUAUAUACAGAUCUGUUUGAGUUGCAAGAAAAAAAAAACUCUUAAACGUGGUAAUCCUUGUGAACCCCAUUUUAUAUUCAGUCAAAAAAAAACACUCCAUUCAGUCCAUCGUGCCUGGUGGCCGGUGGCCAAGUCUUGGGCUAAUGGCCCAUUGAGCCCGCCCCGGAACAAAGAAAGCCUGGCGGCCUGGUGGUCCUGGGCUGCUGCAGGCCCAUUACCAGCCUUAGAAGCAUAUAGACAAACAGGUGGUGUGUGUUGAAUGCUAGAGAGAUUCAGCAUACAAACUUUGAUACCUGAAUCCAAUGUUGAUAAGAAUCGGAGUUUGGUUUGGGGGCCGUCUGGGUCUCGAAACUAUUGCGGUCCAAGACGGUGGUUGGUCACUUAGUUGCCGAGAGAGACAUAAUAUGUGUUUUAUUUCGCAUAGGGCUGUAAAGGCCUAGAUAACUACCAUGUCAUCUAUCUCAGAUAGGACGACUACCGUGUCGUGUUUUGCAUUCAGUGCAAUCCUUUCUAUUCUCGCAAGGCCAGACACUAUCUUUCUCCGAGAUGGAUGAUGUGGUAACUGUCUAAAGCUGUUCAACCCUCAGCGGGUGCUGAGAACCUACGAGUAAAUAAAGGAGGCUAAGAGUAGGUGCUUUCAUGAUUAGCCUACAUUCACUCCGUACCUAAAGUUGCUACCGGGGCUUG
rnacentral:lncRNA from 1 species